rnacentral:rRNA from 1 species
CAUCUAGGCGGCCAAUCAAGUCGAAGGUGAAAACUUGUGGCUCAACCAUAAGCUUGCCUACGAAACUGAUUAACUAGAGUACUGGAGAGGUGGACGGAACUACACGAGUAGAGGUGAAAUUCGUAGAUAUGUGUAGGAAUGCCGAUGAUGAAGAUAGUUCACUGGACAGAAACUGACGCUGAAGUGCGAAAGCUAGGGGAGCAAACA